GCAGUCGAGCGGACAGAAGGGAGCUUGCUCCCGGAUGUUAGCGGCGGACGGGUGAGUAACACGUGGGUAACCUGCCUGUAAGACUGGGAUAACUCCGGGAAACCGGAGCUAAUACCGGAUAGUUCCUUGAACCGCAUGGUUCAAGGAUGAAAGACGGUUUCGGCUGUCACUUACAGAUGGACCCGCGGCGCAUUAGCUAGUUGGUGGGGUAAUGGCUCACCAAGGCGACGAUGCGUAGCCGACCUGAGAGGGUGAUCGGCCACACUGGGACUGAGACACGGCCCAGACUCCUACGGGAGGCAGCAGUAGGGAAUCUUCCGCAAUGGACGAAAGUCUGACGGAGCAACGCCGCGUGAGUGAUGAAGGUUUUCGGAUCGUAAAGCUCUGUUGUUAGGGAAGAACAAGUGCGAGAGUAACUGCUCGCACCUUGACGGUACCUAACCAGAAAGCCACGGCUAACUACGUGCCAGCAGCCGCGGUAAUACGUAGGUGGCAAGCGUUGUCCGGAAUUAUUGGGCGUAAAGGGCUCGCAGGCGGUUUCUUAAGUCUGAUGUGAAAGCCCCCGGCUCAACCGGGGAGGGUCAUUGGAAACUGGGAAACUUGAGUGCAGAAGAGGAGAGUGGAAUUCCACGUGUAGCGGUGAAAUGCGUAGAGAUGUGGAGGAACACCAGUGGCGAAGGCGACUCUCUGGUCUGUAACUGACGCUGAGGAGCGAAAGCGUGGGGAGCGAACAGGAUUAGAUAC
rnacentral:rRNA from 1 species